GGUUCUGCCGCAAGCCCGCUGGGCUGACCCGCGCCGCAUACCCGCGUAACGCCGCCAAUGGGCCCGCAGAGCUGAAGCGGCGCUUCGCGGCCUGGCCGCGAUGCCCAGCGGCGCCGCGUAGCUCGCAAAACCAAAGGCUCGCAUCCGGCAUCUCCCCUCGAUCCUACCCUAAAAAAAAUCUCCCCUCGAUCCACUCCGCCGGCCGGCGGCUCGCCACUCCGCUCCGCCUCCGAAGCCGCCGGCACCACUUCGUCUUCGUCUCCGCUCCAUCUCCGCCGACGCCGGCACCACCCCCACCAACCCAGCGGAGCGUCCACUCCAGCGGCGACUCGAGCACCGAAUCCGUCUCGAUUUGUUGCGGCUCAGCGCGCGCAAGAUCUAUUGGUAUCUGUGUAGGAGGCGUAUCCAUGGUGUCUCCGUCCGCUCGUGUGCCAUGGCAAAGAAUGGUUCCAGGCCUCCUUGCUGCUUCCCCUGGCCCUACUACUCCUACCUUCGUUGCAGCACCCAUCCCUUCCCAGGUCCCUGAACCCCAUCGUCAAGAACAGGGAGGAAUCUAGACAACAGGGAAAAAACGAAAGGUCAGCAGCAGGAUUGCUAAGCCACGUAGAAGAAAAAAUGAGGAGAAAAAGGGAUUCCAAGUACAGUGCUAAUAGAUUAGUGUGGUUCUGUAAUGUAAUCCAUUUUAGUCUUUUCGAGCACUCGCCGAUGUCAUCAUCGGAUGCUGAAGUAUAGUUGUAACACAUAUUUGGAUUUCGAUUUAUGGUGUUGCAAAAUCUGGAACAUAUAGUUGUUAUAGACUUGUUACACAUUAGUUGCAAAA